rnacentral:rRNA from 1 species
CGUCAGACGAACGCUGGCGGCGUGCCUAAUACAUGCAAGUCGAGCGGACCGACGGGAGCUUGCUCCCUUAGGUCAGCGGCGGACGGGUGAGUAACACGUGGGUAACCUGCCUGUAAGACUGGGAUAACUCCGGGAAACCGGGGCUAAUACCGGAUGCUUGAUUGAACCGCAUGGUUCAAUCAUAAAAGGUGGCUUUUAGCUACCACUUACAGAUGGACCCGCGGCGCAUUAGCUAGUUGGUGAGGUAACGGCUCACCAAGGCGACGAUGCGUAGCCGACCUGAGAGGGUGAUCGGCCACACUGGGACUGAGACACGGCCCAGACUCCUACGGGAGGCAGCAGUAGGGAAUCUUCCGCAAUGGACGAAAGUCUGACGGAGCAACGCCGCGUGAGUGAUGAAGGUUUUCGGAUCGUAAAACUCUGUUGUUAGGGAAGAACAAGUACCGUUCGAAUAGGGCGGCACCUUGACGGUACCUAACCAGAAAGCCACGGCUAACUACGUGCCAGCAGCCGCGGUAAUACGUAGGUGGCAAGCGUUGUCCGGAAUUAUUGGGCGUAAAGCGCGCGCAGGCGGUUUCUUAAGUCUGAUGUGAAAGCCCCCGGCUCAACCGGGGAGGGUCAUUGGAAACUGGGGAACUUGAGUGCAGAAGAGGAGAGUGGAAUUCCACGUGUAGCGGUGAAAUGCGUAGAGAUGUGGAGGAACACCAGUGGCGAAGGCGACUCUCUGGUCUGUAACUGACGCUGAGGCGCGAAAGCGUGGGGAGCGAACAGGAUUAGAUACCCUGGUAGUCCACGCCGUAAACGAUGAGUGCUAAGUGUUAGAGGGUUUCCGCCCUUUAGUGCUGCAGCAAACGCAUUAAGCACUCCGCCUGGGGAGUACGGUCGCAAGACUGAAACUCAAAGGAAUUGACGGGGGCCCGCACAAGCGGUGGAGCAUGUGGUUUAAUUCGAAGCAACGCGAAGAACCUUACCAGGUCUUGACAUCCUCUGACAACCCUAGAGAUAGGGCUUCCCCUUCGGGGGCAGAGUGACAGGUGGUGCAUGGUUGUCGUCAGCUCGUGUCGUGAGAUGUUGGGUUAAGUCCCGCAACGAGCGCAACCCUUGAUCUUAGUUGCCAGCAUUCAGUUGGGCACUCUAAGGUGACUGCCGGUGACAAACCGGAGGAAGGUGGGGGAUGACGUCAAAUCAUCAUGCCCCUUAUGACCUGGGCUACACACGUGCUACAAUGGGCAGAACAAAGGGCAGCGAAGCCGCGAGGCUAAGCCAAUCCCACAAAUCUGUUCUCAGUUCGGAUCGCAGUCUGCAACUCGACUGCGUGAAGCUGGAAUCGCUAGUAAUCGCGGAUCAGCAUGCCCGCGGGUGAAUACGUUCCCGGGGCCUUGUACACACCGCCCGUCACACCACGGAGAGUUUGUAACACCCGAAGUCCGGUGAGGUAACCUUUUGGAGCCAGCCGCCGAAGGUGGGACAGAUGAUUGGGGUGAG